UACGAGCGGCCCAAACGUUAUUCGGAAUUACUGGGCGUAAAGCGUGCGCAGGCGGUUUUGUAAGUUUGUCGUGAAAUCCCCGGGCUCAACCUGGGAAUUGCGAUGAAGACUGCAAGGCUAGAAUCUGGCAGAGGGGGGUAGAAUUCCACGUGUAGCAGUGAAAUGCGUAGAGAUGUGGAGGAACACCGAUGGCGAAGGCAGCCCCCUGGGUCAAGAUUGACGCUCAUGCACGAAAGCGUGGGGAGCAAACAGG
rnacentral:rRNA from 1 species